GGCGGCGUGGACGGGCCGGCCGGCGGCUCCGCGGUUGAUGUGCGGCGGGCGCGUGCUCAUCGCGUGCGGGCGCUGCUCAGUCAGGACGCCGGCG
rnacentral:tRNA from 1 species